UACGUAGGCAGCAAGCGUUGUUCGGAGUUACUGGGCGUAAAGGGCGCGUAGGCGGCUUUUUAAGUUUGGUGUGAAAUCUCCCGGCUCAACUGGGAGGGUGCGCCGAAUACUGAGAAGCUAGAGUGUGGAAGAGGAGAGUGGAAUUCCUGGUGUAGCGGUGAAAUGCGCAGAUAUCAGGAGGAACACCCGUGGCGAAAGCGGCUCUCUGGGACGGUACUGACGCUGAGACGCGAAAGCGUGGGGAGCAAACAGG
rnacentral:rRNA from 1 species